CCUACGGGUGGCAGCAGUCGAGAAUCAUUCACAAUGGGGGAAACCCUGAUGGUGCGACGCCGCGUGGGGGAAUGAAGGUCUUCGGAUUGUAAACCCCUGUCAUGUGGGAGCAAAUUAAAAAGAUAGUACCACAAGAGGAAGAGACGGCUAACUCUGUGCCAGCAGCCGCGGUAAUACAGAGGUCUCAAGCGUUGUUCGGAAUCACUGGGCGUAAAGCGUGCGUAGGCUGUUUCGUAAGUCGUGUGUGAAAGGCGCGGGCUCAACCCGCGGACGGCACAUGAUACUGCGAGACUAGAGUAAGGGAGGGGGAACCGGAAUUCUCGGUGUAGCAGAGAAAUGCGUAGAUAUCGAGAGGAACACUCGUGGCGAGGGCGGGUUCCUGGACAUUAACUGACGCUGAGGCACGAAGGCCAGGGGAGCGAAAGGGAUUAGAUACCCGAGUAGUC
rnacentral:rRNA from 1 species